CCGGUGUAGCGGUGAAAUGCGUAGAUAUCGGGAAGAACACCAGUGGCGAAGGCGCUCUGCUGGGCCAUUACUGACGCUCAUGGACGAAAGCCAGGGGAGCGAAAGGGAUUAGAUACCCCUGUAGUCCUGGCCGUAAACGAUGAACACUAGGUGUCGGGGGAAUCGACCCCUUCGGUGUCGUAGCUAACGCGUUAAGUGUUCCGCCUGGGGAGUACGCACGCAAGUGUGAAACUCAAAGGAAUUGACGGGGGCCCGCACAAGCGGUGGAGUAUGUGGUUUAAUUCGAUGCAACGCGAAGAACCUUACCAGGGUUUGACAUCCUGCGAACCUCUUAGAAAUUUGAGGGUGCCUUCGGGAAUGCAGUGACAGGUGGUGCAUGGCUGUCGUCAGCUCGUGUCGUGAGAUGUUGGGUUAAGUCCCGCAACGAGCGCAACCCACGUUUUUAGUUGCCAGCAUUUAGUUGGGCACUCUAGAAAGACCGCCGGUGAUAAACCGGAGGAAGGUGUGGAUGACGUCAAGUCAUCAUGCCCCUUACACCCUGGGCUACACACGUACUACAAUGCUACGGACAAAGGGCAGCAAACUCGCGAGAGCUAGCAAAUCCCAUAAACCGUGGCUCAGUUCAGAUCGUAGGCUGCAACUCGCCUACGUGAAGUAGGAAUCGCUAGUAAUCGCAGGUCAGCAUACUGCGGUGAAUACGUUCCCGGGCCUUGUACACACCGCCCGUCACACCAUGGAAGUUGGCCAUGCCCGAAGUCGUUACUCCAACCCUUGUGGAGGAGGACGCCGAAGGUGGGGCUAAUGACUGGGGUGAAGUCGUAACAAGGUAGCCGUACCGGAAGGUGCGGCUG
rnacentral:rRNA from 1 species